CGACAAUGGAGUGUGCUGAUUAACCCUUUGAUGGCAUGGGGUUUAGAAAUCCCAUUGCAAGAAAAGGAGUUGCAGAAUUGUUUCUUAUUUCGGUUUUUAAAUAGUUUACUACUUGAAAUUAUAUAUGUUAUCUUAGGCUCUUAAUUCUAAAAUACAUUUGCAACUUUCUUGCUGCAAAAAAUGAAAUAUCAUAUCUUGCUUAGGGUUAAUAUAUGAACAAAAGUGUGUCUGCGCCCAACCUUCCGCGUCGACAAGCAAACAAGCACUGAACGCAGACCUUAUAUGAAUGCUUCAUGGCAUGAGUCUUCACACAACUUUUGGUGACUAGUUUUUAUAGUCGCUGAGAACGAGGCGUCAAACAAGACGGACGCACGGACUGACAUGGCUAUUGAUGCUGUUCAAGAAUAUAUAUAUACGUUAUGGAGUCUAACACGUUUCCUUCUGUGCAUUACAUAUUUCCAAUUUCGAGCACAAAUACAAUAUACCCUAUUUUCUCUUUGAGUACCGUGUAUAAAACGUCGGUUUGGUUCGAUGCUCAAACAAACAAUAUCAAUUUUGUUGAGUAGUGUUUUUCAUGGCAUAGCCAGGUACGGCUUCAGAUGAUCAAAUCACAGACCUGUUGAAAUUCCCUUAUUGUUAAAAAUAUCCUUAACAUACAUACAUCGGUUAAAAAUGAUAUCACGAACAUUUUACAUAUAACUUUUGGUGCUGAUUAUAAAUGUAUGUAACAUACAUACAGUAAGCACACAUAUUAUUCGUACACCACACAUUACCUUAGUUUGAACACCUAUAACUUGGCGUACUGUCAACUUAUAAAGAAAAAGUUAAUUUUGUAUCGAAGAUAAAAAAAAAAAGAAGAUGAAAAAAGAUUUUAAUUUUCUUCUAUGGUAUCCUUAAUAAAAUGAACUUAAGCAAAAAAUACCUUUUUUUCGCACUUAAAUGAUUUGUAAAGCCGUCCGAUUCCGUAAGUAAAGUUCAAAUAUUAAAGGUAACAUGUACAAUGAAUAUUUUUGUUUGCUAUAUUUAGAUUUUAUGAUGACUAAAAGAACUAGAAAAAAAAUCUUUCCGCCAAGGAAUGAAUUAAUAUUGACGCCCUCCACAAUCAGUUCCGGUUGCAAGAAUAAACUUUUGAUAAACUUUUGAGCUUUCGUAUCCUUUUUUAAAAAUUUUUCUCACAGGCUUCAUGGAACUGAAGUUAAUUAACCGUAGUGAAUUUUUCAGCUAGUUGCAGUUUUAAAUGAGCCAGAUUUAAUCUAAAAAAGAUAAAUUUAUGUGUCAAAUUUUUUGGCUGGGUCAAGUUUGACUUCGAAUUAUUAACAAAUGGGAUGACACAAGGAUGCCAAUUGUUACUCAAAAUAUAGUUUAAUAAACCCCUUUUCAUAUUUCCAUUAAAUAAGACCACUCGUAAAGAUGCAGUUCAAAAACAAUGCUGGUGAAAGGCACACUCUGAAAUGCCAUACAGCAGGGACCACCAUUUUCUCAUCAUAGGCUACAUUUAUUUUCGCAAGGCCAUCGAAUCAAAAAUAUGUCUUAGAUGGACUCUCUAGUCAAAUCAGAUUCUCUAGAAAUGAAUCUGGCUAUGGGUUUCUCCAUAAGUCUUCCGGAAAAUAAAUUUAACAUAUCUUGAGAAAAAUCGUAUGGGUCAUGGUAGGGUGCCUGUGUAGGAUUUUAACUGGAGUUUUACGAACGGUAUUUUUUAAAGGAAAUAUGAUCAAGGAAGUACUAAACUUUAUUUUGAGUAACAAUUGGCAUUAUUGCGUCAUUCCAUUUGGUAAUAAUUCGAAGUCAAACUUGACCCAGCCAAAAAAAUGACACACAAAUUUAUCUUUUUUUUUUAUCAAAUCUGGCUCAUUCAAAAUUGCAACUAGCUGAAGAAAUUCUUGCAACCGGUACUCCUUGUGGAGGGGGUCAAUAUUAAUUCAUGGGGCUCCAAUACCAUGGGCGAAAAUUGUUUCUAGUUCUUUUAGUCAUCAUAAAGACUAAAUAUAGCAAACAAAAAUUUGCAUUGUACAUGUUACCUUUAAUAUUUGAAUUUUACUUAAAGAAUUGGACGGCUGUACAAUUAAUUUAUGUGCGAAAUAAAAAAAAAAUAAGGAUACCAUAGAAGAAAAUUAACAACUUUCUUCAUAAACAGAUCAUAUCUUCGAUACGAAAUUAAAUUUUUCUGUUUACGUUGACCGUACGCCAAGGUGCUCAAACUAGGUUGAUGAUGGUGUACGAAUAAUAUGUGUGCUUACUGUAUGUACAUAUAUACCCAUAUCACCGCGAACUGUUUAAAAAAAUAACGAAUAACUGGACUCAAAUCUUAAUAAAGUACAUAAUGUAUGUAGGUACAUACAUACAUAUAUAUGUAUGAUUGUUCAACUUACCUAUGUAUUUUAUGCAUGUGUACUAGGUACAUGUGGAACAUAACAUAUACAUAUGUAUAUAUAUAUUCUCGUUGUCAGAAUAACAUAAUAAUAAAAAUGUUAACUUUUAACUUAAAGUUUUAAAAAGCCAUGUGUCAAUUAAUAAAAAAAAUGUGUGCAAAAAAAAUAAUGUCUAUGUAAAUACAUAUGUAUUUUUAUACAUAUGUACGUAUGUUCAAAUAUUUGUCGACGUGUUUGUACGCUAACGCAAAAGCGGGCAAAGCACAAAGCUGCUCUUUGUUAGCCUCUAACAACUUUCAUACCAAUCGCCACGGUAAGUUUUUUUUCAACAUCAGUACAAAGCUUUAACUCUCGAAACUCCGCACACCCCACGUAACUAUAAGUAGUGGUAUGAGAGGUCUGCUGGUCUCAAUUUGUUUUUAACUUUCGCUGCAAACGGACAGAUGUUUUGCUGAUUUCUAGUGUUACUUCUCUUAAUAUAAUUGUUUGUUAUGAACGAAUUGGUCUUUGGACUGCUAAUAUAAAAUCGUGACUUAAGUUUCAGAAGUUAAGAUCAUUAGUUCGUUUCGUUCAUUAGAAUGAAUGCACAUCUUUCUCUUAUUUUGGCUAUUGCCAUAACAACCAUUGUAGUCCCUUUAACUGCUGGGGCUGACCAAAAAGGGACAGCAGAUAGUGAUGGUGAAAUACGAAUUUAUAAACGCCUUAUUCCGGCUGAUGUACUCAGAGGUGAGUUAGUCCAUUAAGCAUAGUGCAAGAGUUGUAUUUAAUCAUGUUUGAAACACGCGUACCGAAAAUGAUAGCAUCAGUUAGUUUAUGGUACUAUUACCUGACCAGUGUUGAUUCAUACACUUGCAGAACAGCUCUUCGACGUUAAAAAUCAGAAAGCUUUAACCUCGUGUGUAUUUGUAUAUGUAUGUAUUUAUUUUUAUUUAUAAUCCUGCUUUACUCUUUAGUGCAAGGUCAUUUUAAUUUUGUUUAAAUACUUCAUAUUGCAACUGUAUAAGCCGCAGAACUCGGAUGCGAAAACCAUUUAUGAGUCUACAAAUGUUAUCCGUACAUACAUAUGUACGUAUGCAGUUUUUUAGACUAUUGGGAUAUGUUUAAGUUUGUAUGUACAUAGUACAUAUGUACAGGCGAAAAAUUGUCGAUUCGAAAAUGUUACAAAUGAAAUGGCAUACAUUUCUGUGAACAAGGAAUCUUCAGAAUUACGUUACUUCCAAAUACUUACUUACAUAAAAUGAUAUUCUCACAGAAUGUAAGAAGACUUUUCUUCAAAGGGAACAAAAUACAAAUGCAACUUACUGGUACAAUAGGUUUACGAUGAAUAUUCAGCAUUUUUCACCAUUUUUUUUCUCGCAAUCGAAUAUAUGUAUGUACAUAAUGUAUCAAGAGAUUUUGAUUAUUUGCUUACAGAUUUUCCGGGAAUGUGCUUUGCUUCCACACGUUGUGCUACCGUUGAGCCCGGUAAAUCAUGGGACUUGACUCCGUUCUGCGGUCGUUCCACCUGUGUGCAAAACGAAGAGAAUAAGACAAAGUAAUAUUUUAACUCAGUUGCUUUACAUUAUCAUUAUCUAUCAUUAUAUAUCUAUUCACAGACUUCUGGAGCUUGUUGAGGAUUGCGGGCCGCUGCCAUUGGCAAAUGACAAAUGUAAAUUGGACACAUCAAAGACCAACAAAACCGCUUCUUUCCCGUAUUGCUGUCCUAUAUUUACAUGUGAGGCGGGAAUCACGUUGGAAUACCCUGAGAUUGAAAAGGAGGAUGCCAAGAAGAGUGAUGUAUAAAUUUGAACUUAUAUUUGAGUUAUGAUUGGUAUCCCGAGUAUUUAAAUAUGUGUUUUAUUUGGGUCAGAUAAAUCGGAAGAUUCUAUUAGAAAAGUUGAAUAAGAAAUAAAGUUAAAGGCCAAAUAAAAGUGGUCCCACUGCAAAUGUUUUAAAUUAAUUGUGUGACGAACAUUAAAUUAAGUUAACAUAACUAAGUGAACAUUUUCAAAACAUUAAAUUAAACUUUAUUAUUUUCAUAAAUUUCUUAAGUAGAUGGCGGAGAAUGAACGGCCACUGCCCUAAUGUGAGGAUGCAGGGGUUGCUAGAUCCGCGGCGAUUGGAGAGGUAUAACCUGGCGACAGGCUUGAUGCGGCCUGAUGGGAGGAUGUCCCCAACAUGCCGAGAGUCCAAGUAAACCCGCUGAACCGGAGAAAAUCCUAACGAUUCUGUGGGUCUGCGGCCCACGCUUCCUACAGACAAUUGAAAGAUGGCCUCCUCGGCAAAACGGGCGGAGUAGUGAGAUACGGAAGGUGACCGAAGGCAUCUACAAGUCAGUCCCGAAGGGUACGCCAGCCGAGAUCGAGUGGAACCGGAGAUAGACAAUGUAACGGGAGGCUUAACCUCGAACAUCCGUCCAGAGGCCUCGGAGACAUCGAUAUCGGAGAUGAGGAGGAGUCUCCGGAGAGCGUCCUGAAAUUGGUGGAGGGGAGUCUCAGGAAGGUCACUGACAAUCCUGCAGAUAAACCUCCACCAUUGUAAGGAAGCAUGUGUUCCUCUUCUAGCCAAGGGUGAAUCCCUGAAUCCCUGAAAGGCCUGAAUCCGUGACGGACAAGACUAAAAGCUAUACUUAGCAGGAGAACUAGAGUUUCAACUUGCUUGAGCUCCCAAAUUUCAGUAAUGACGACCACAAAUCAGAAAGCCUCGAAGGCCAGGAGUGCUCUCUGAGGAUUUUGAUUUAGAAUUUAGAUUUAGAUUUUCUAUAUCCGAAAAAUGUUUUUUGUACCCGGUACUUGAAGAGUAAAUAAGGUAAUUUGUUUUUGUGGUGGAAUGUGCAUGUAAGUAACGCACAGAAGGAAACGUUUCCGACCCCACAAAGUAUAUAUAUGUAUUCUUGAUCGGCAUCAACUGCCGGUUCUAUAUAUGUCUGUCUGUCCUUCUGACUGUCUGUCCGUCUUGCUUGACGCCUCGUUCUCCAAGAGACUACAAGAUCUAGAGUCACUAAAUUUUGUGUAAAUUGUGAUAUCACACUGAAUAAAGUUUGUCUUAAAAUCUCGCACUGCCUAAUUAUAGCUUAGUAUUCAGAUCGAAAAAGGGGCCGCUAGAAAAAUCAGGGAUGAUAUUCGUAUGGAACCGAUAAGAAAUUUUGCGCACACAAGUUACUUUCUAGCGGUUGUACGUAGAUUGACAAAAAAAAAAGGCCGAUUAAAUCUAGAAAGUGGUAUUGUGUGGUAUUCGUUGGUAUUUUGCUAGCAGCUCGACAAAUAUAGAUUUGUUUUAGAUUCCGAGAGGGUACCUAGCUAACAGAGUAAAGUCUCAAUCAAAUGGAGGCAACAAUUACUCUGAAGUUGAAAGAAAAUGACCACAGUGCUUCUAAACGAGCUUAAGGCCAUCAAACGGCAAAGAAAGGAAACAAUUAUUAUAGAUUAAUGAGAUUAUAUUGAAUGUAUUUGCAUUUAUAAUUUUUUUAACUUAUUUGAACGUCAGUUGCUUAAUGUUGCCAAGACACAGACCGGGCUAGGGUGUUAACAAAAUGUUUUAAGUUGUUUUCCUUUUUGGACCAAGUACUGCUCCACAGGGUCGUGCCGUGGAGGGGCGAAGGCGGCGAUUUUGGCUCAAAACUAUCCAACUUUGAAUAGGAAGGAUGCUUGGUGGCGCAUUUUUACCACUUUGCCACUGGCGAAAAUAUUCCUUGGCACGGCCUUGCUGCUCCAUAUGCAAAUUCUCUGUCAUAUCGUUUCAUGGGUUUCCAUAAAUGUACGCAUAUUUAUAUUAUUUAUAAUACUCAAAUGUAUGGACAAACAACUGUCCAGUUUUUUUUCGUGCAGAUAUGGGUUUAAUCAAAGUUGUCGGCGGCUAUUUCGUUGGUUGUCCUCCUCCUUCGAUCAUGCAAGAGCCGCCCAUCCCACUAAAAGCAAUCUCCUGCAUGAAUCCCUUUUUCAAUCAUUGUUUUAUUAAACUUUUUUUCAAUUUGCACACAUUUUCAAAAAGGUAAACAAAACAACACAGCUGCCUGAGAAGUGUAGAAGUCUGCUGCUAGCAAAAUAUAUUGCACAGUUAGCUAGCAAGCGUGUUUUUCGAUCUGAGUACUAGGCUUAAGAUUACAUAUGUACAUAUAUACUGACUCUUUGCCGGGUAUAAACGCUGUGACGCGUACGAAGCGUCUCACAAACGGUCCUACUCGUUUGUAUUUCUGUAGCCCAGUGCUCAGGUGCGCUACAUUUUCGGUCGACAUACAAUUUAGCAAGCUGGCUGCUUCCAGUUGAGUACUCAGUUCAGCGGAGAAAAUACCAGAAAACAAACCGAUUAAAUACUACAUCUCGAAGCGAAAAAAAUAAUAUUUCUGCCUUCGGUUAACAGAAACAUAUACGCAUAUGUGUGUGUCUCACACACACACAUAUUCAAAAGUUAAAGGAAAAAAGCGAAUCAAGCGCACAACGGGAAGAAUAUACCACUGAUGAAGACAAUUUUAAUCUUAUUCAUGCAUUCGAGCGUACAUGGAGAUUUCUGUCCGCCGGAACGGACACAUAAUGCGGUGCUUUCUCCAUGCAUUGCUGUCCUCAAGUCUCCAUAUCCACUCUGAAAUAAUUUUCAUGCAACAGUUGAAUUUUCUACGUAUUACGUAUUUCAUUUUGCAUCAAUAGCCAAGUCGAUAGAGCCAUGUCUGUCUGUCCGUCUUGUUUGUCUUCUAGUUCUCAGAGACUAUUAGAGCUAGUGCCACCGAAUUUUGCUACCAUACUUUUGUAUGCUCACACUGAAAGCAGUGUAUUUAAAAAAUUUGACUCGCCCACAGCCACAAAUUUGAAGCUAAAAGAAAACGAAAAACGCCAUAUCUGUCAUAACCGUAUGAAACUGUCAUGACCAUAUCUAUCAGAUCACUGAAUCUAAAUAAAAUAAAAACAAUAAGGGACAGAUGUCUUACUGAGUACUGCGCAUGGUAAAAUUAGUAAGAGGUGACGUCGUCAGCUUUGUGGAGGACCACCAGCUAUUCACCAAGCUUGCUCAGCUUUAAAAAACGCAAGAGCUAGAGAGAGAUAGCAAACGUUUAUAAGUAAUUUCACCACCCAACUGGUGGGCCUCGAAUGAGAAGGCACUGUGGUGAAUCCACAGUCUGAGAAAAUGGUCUAAAAUUGAAUCUGGAAUAUGAUUAUCUAGAAGGAGGCAGUCUCCUGGCAUAAGACUAAUUAAACCUGUAUAACCUUUGUAUAAAAACACUUACAUACAUAAUUUGAUGUGCGGUCAGGGGCAAGCAGUGAGAAAAAAGCUUGCCGCUUUGGUGGGCUCGCAACAGUAGUUUUGUCAAACUGGUUCGGUAUCAGUGAUGGAAUAUCCGGAUUAAUGAGGAUGUGUUAGCUACGAUUCUCUACAGCCGAGACUACGAGACUCUACAUUCAAUUCGAGAUGAUCAAUUCGGUUACCGAAUCUGCAUCACCAGCAGCAGUCUUUGUAAUGAGGUUGCAAACGAUAUCAGCAGCAACCCUGAUGUAACUUUUUCAGAUGCUUGAGAUUUUUGUCCUCGGUUUUCAUCAUAAUAAUUAUAACGAGAAGGGACGUUUGAGACGCUUUUUACGCGUCACAACUUUUAUACCCGGCACUCAGGACUACAUCUGCACCUUAGCGGUUAUUUGUCAAAUUUUAUAUUUUUUCUUCAUCUGUCAUCUACAUCUACAACACUUCCCACACCAACACGCUCCGUUAGCUCGCCGCCCUUCCCUAGACCCACACACUCCAGACUCGAGGCAGAGGCACCGUCCGCACACAAAAAAAAAAAACAAAUAAAAGCUGCGGGACGGGGUGGGCUAAAAGUCGGAAGAGG
rnacentral:lncRNA from 1 species